rnacentral:rRNA from 1 species
GAUCCUGGCUCAGAUUGAACGCUGGCGGCAUGCCUUACACAUGCAAGUCGAACGGCAGCGGACCUUCGGGUGCCGGCGAGUGGCGAACGGGUGAGUAAUAUAUCGGAACGUACCUUUCAGUGGGGAUAACGUAGCGAAAGUUACGCUAAUACCGCAUAUUCUGUGAGCAGGAAAGCAGGGGAUCGCAAGACCUUGCGCUGAUUGAGCGGCCGAUAUCAGAUUAGCUAGUUGGUGAGGUAAAGGCUCACCAAGGCGACGAUCUGUAGCGGGUCUGAGAGGACGAUCCCCCACACCGGUACUGAGAUACGGACCGGACUCCUACGGGAGGCAGCAGUAGGGAAUAUUGGGCAAUGGGCGAGAGCCUGACCCAGCCAUGCCGCGUGUGUGAAGAAGGCCUUCGGGUUGUAAAGCACUUUAAGCGGGGAGGAAGGCCUGGCGACUAAUAUCCGUCGGGAUUGACGUUACCCGCAGAAUAAGCACCGGCAAACUUCGUG